CAGUAGCCGCGGUAAUACGAAGGGGGCUAGCGUUGUUCGGAUUUACUGGGCGUAAAGGGCGCGUAGGCGGACUGAUAAGUCAGGGGUGAAAUCCCAAGGCUCAACCUUGGAACUGCCUUUGAUACUGUUUGUCUUGAGUUCGAGAGAGGUAAGUGGAACUGCGAGUGUAGAGGUGAAAUUCGUAGAUAUUCGCAAGAGCACCAGUGGCGAAGGCGGCUUACUGGCUCGAAACUGACGCUGAGGCGCGAAAGCGUGGGGAGCAAACAGGAUUAGAUACCCGCGUAGUCCCUGUCUCUUAUAC
rnacentral:rRNA from 1 species